UACGGGGGGUGCGAGCGUUGUCCGGAUUCACUGGGCGUAAAGGGCGCGUAGGCGGCCUCGCAAGUCCCGUGUGAAAUCCCUCGGCUCAACUGAGGAAUGGCACGGGAAACUGCGGGGCUUGAGUUCGGGAGAGGGAAGCGGAAUUCCGGGUGUAGCGGUGAAAUGCGUAGAUAUCCGGAGGAACACCGGUGGCGAAGGCGGCUUCCUGGACCGAUACUGACGCUGAGGCGCGAAAGCUAGGGGAGCAAACGGG
rnacentral:rRNA from 1 species